CCAAGCGAGCGCAGAGCGGUUUGGUCGUUCGCUGGGGGCAGUGUCGUUUCUCCGCUUGUCGACUGCGGCUCUUCCUCAGGUCGCAGAAGCGGCGCGGCGGUCGGAGAAGUGGCCUAAAACUUCCGCGUGGGGUAAAAGAAAAUGGCCCGAACCAAGCAGACUGCUGGUAAAUCCACUGGUGGGAAAGCACCCCGCAAGCAGCUGGCCACGGAAGCCGCCAGCAAAAGCGCCCCCUCUACCAGCGGGGUGAAGAAACCUCAUCGCUACAGGCCCGGGACCGUAGCGCUUGGAGAGAUUCGUCCUUCCAUCGGGAAGCUGCCUUUCCAGAGGUUGGUGAGGGAGAUCGCGCAGGAUUUCAACACCGACCUGAGGUUUCAGAGCGCGGCAGGAGGCUGCUGAAGCCUACCUGGUGGGUAUGCUCGAAGAUACUAACCUGUGUGCCAUCCACGCUAAGAGUCACCAGCAUGCCCAAAGACAUCCAGGUUGGCUCGCCGGAUACGGAGAGAGAGCUUAAGUGAAGGCAGGUUUUAUGACGUUUUGUAGUAAAUUCUGUAAAAUACUUUCGUUUACGACUUUUUUUUGGUAAGAAAUUGUUUAUAAUAUGUUGCAUUUGUACUUAAGUCAUUCCACCUUUCACUCAGGAUGGAUGCGAAAAGUGACUGUUCACAGACCUCAGUGAUGUGAGCACUGUUGCUCAGGAGUGACAAGUUGCUAAUAUGCGGAAGGGAUGGGUGGUAACUUCUUGCUUCUCAUGAUGCAUGUUUCUGUAUGUUAAUGACUUGUUGGGUAGCUAUUAAGGUACUAGAAUUGGUAAAUGUGUACAGGGUCCUUUUGCAAUAAAACUGGUUAUGACUU